rnacentral:rRNA from 1 species
UACGUAGGUGGCAAGCGUUAUCCGGAAUUAUUGGGCGUAAAGAGCGCGCAGGUGGUUGAUUAAGUCGGAUGUGAAAGCCCCUGGCUCAACUGGGGAAGUGCACCCGAAACUGAAUGGCUUGAAUGCAAAAGAGGGUCGCGGAAUUCCCGGUGUAGAGGUGAAAUUCGUAGAUAUCGGGAGGAACACCGGUGGCGAAGGCGGCGACCUGGGUUGACAUUGACGCUGAGGCGCGAAAGCGUGGGGAGCAAACAGG